UAUAAGAAUAGGUUUCUUAAAAAAAGAUGAGAUAUUUUUAAUUUCUAAAAAAAAGAUGAGAUAUUUUAAAUUUGUGAAAGAGAAUUUUAGGUUUAUAAAAAAAAAAAGAUGAGAUAUUUAUAAAAAAAAUGAAAGGAGAAAAGUUAUACGUCGAGUAAAAAAUUUAGUAAAAUAAUAUGUGUAUAUAUAUAUUUAUAUAUAUUUUAGGUUUCUAGGGUUUUUUUUUUUAAAUCUAAAAACUAAGGGAUCUCCAUAUAAAUUAAUGAUGAAUAUGUGAACGGUUGAGAAAUGCUUUAAAGUGGUUCUUAAACCCUAUAUCUAAGACAUAUUAUGAGGAUUUAUGAGGAUUUAUGAGGAUUUUAAUGAGGAUAAAGGGAUGAAAAUAUUGUGAGGAUUUAUGCUUUAUGAGGGUGAAUUUAUGAGGAUUUUAAUGAGGAUAAAGGGAUGAAAAUAUUGUGAGAAUUUUUUAUGCUUUAUAUAUGUAUAUAUGAGGAUGAAAGGAUGAAGGGUUUCUUGCCACGUGGCAAGAAAGAUUGUGCUUUCAUUUAGAGUUAUAGAUAUGUUGUUUACUUACCCCUUUAUAGCAUGCCUCAGUUGACCUAGUAGUGUAUUUCGCCACUCUCGACGGCUUACCCACUGGGAACUGUUACCCCUAUUUGUUGUUGGUUUUUAUUUCAGAGCCUUUUGCGGUGGGAGAAGCUAGGGAUCGUGGCAAGGGGUUAGAGCCUCUACGGAGAUAUUAUAGAUGGACCCGAUGUCAUCUUUCCUUUUGUAUUUAUGGAAAAGAUGUAUUAUGUAUUUGAUUUAGAGAUGUUGUUAAACUUUUGGAUUUAGUUGUAUAUCUUGUGGAUCUCUUUGUGAUAUAGAAUUAGUGAUUUUAUAUU
rnacentral:lncRNA from 1 species